rnacentral:rRNA from 1 species
GCUGGCGGUAUGCUUAACACAUGCAAGUCGAACGAGAAGGAAGAGCUUGCUCUUCCUGAAAGUGGCGAACGGGUGAGUAACGCGUGGGUAACCUACCCUUUGGAAAGGAAUAGCCUCGGGAAACUGGGAGUAAUGCCUUAUAAGAUACGUUUGUCGCAUGGCAUUUGUAUUAAACGCUCCGGCGCCAUAGGAUGGACCCGCGUCCCAUUAGCUAGUUGGUGAGAUAACAGCUCACCAAGGCCACGAUGGGUAACCGGUCUGAGAGGGCGAACGGUCACACUGGAACUGAGACACGGUCCAGACUCCUACGGGAGGCAGCAGUGGGGAAUAUUGCGCAAUGGGGGCAACCCUGACGCAGCAAUACCGCGUGAGUGAAGAAGGUUUUCGGAUCGUAAAGCUCUGUUAUUGGGGAAGAAAAAAAGACGGUACCCAAGAAGAAAGUUCCGGCUAACUACGUGCCAGCAGCCGCGGUAAUACGUAGGGAACAAGCGUUGUCCGGAUUUACUGGGCGUAAAGGGCACGCAGGCGGUUUUUUAAGUCAGAUGUGAAAGGCCACAGCUCAACUGUGGACAUGCAUUUGAAACUGAAAGACUUGAGUAUUGGAGAGGCAAGUGGAAUUCCUAGUGUAGCGGUGAAAUGCGUAGAUAUUAGGAGGAACACCGGUGGCGAAGGCGGCUUGCUGGACAAAUACUGACGCUGA